rnacentral:rRNA from 1 species
UGGGGAAUAUUGGACAAUGGGCGCAAGCCUGAUCCAGCAAUGCCGCGUGAGUGAUGAAGGCCUUAGGGUUGUAAAGCUCUUUCGCCCGCGACGAUGAUGACGGUAGCGGGAGAAGAAGCCCCGGCUAACUUCGUGCCAGCAGCCGCGGUAAUACGAAGGGGGCUAGCGUUGUUCGGAAUUACUGGGCGUAAAGGGCGCGCAGGCGGUUCCUCAAGUCAGGCGUGAAAGCCCCGGGCUCAACCUGGGAACUGCGCUUGAGACUGCGGGACUGGAGUUCGGGAGAGGAGAGCGGAAUUCCCAGUGUAGAGGUGAAAUUCGUAGAUAUUGGGAAGAACACCGGUGGCGAAGGCGGCUCUCUGGACCGACACUGACGCUGAGGCGCGAAAGCGUGGGGAGCAAACA